AAGACCCUCUAUAUAUAUGUAUCGUGCAUGCAUUAAAUAAAUACAACGAAAUCCAACUAUUUUUCAAACUGCUGUCCGCCGCCGUUGUCUCCACCUCCUGUUGGUCUCUCUCUUCUACAAAUCCGGAAUCCCCACACAAGCGUAUUCUAUACAUCCACACAAACACACACGGUUUGUCUAUGCUACACGAAUAAUAUACGGGUUUUAUUAUUAUUUACAGAUUGUAAGUAAAAGAAACUUAAGGAAAGACGAGAGAGAGAGAGAGGAAAUGACGCCGGCAAGAAUNNNNN
rnacentral:lncRNA from 1 species